UAAAAGAAGAAGUUAAGAUUUCUAGAUUUAUUGUGGAACAUAUGUGGCUAUUCAAGAAUAAAAAUAAACUUAAGAAGUUAUUCUUGAAGGAUUUAUUAGAAGAAAAAAAACAAGAAAAAAAACUCCGAGACAAUUAACCACUCAUGGGGCACAUAUCCACUUUGCCUUAAGGGUAUAAAAGUAGGAAAAAUAGGGCGUCCAAACAAAUAAAUUUUCAGAGAUUACAA
rnacentral:lncRNA from 1 species